CUCAGUCAGAAGGCAGGCACCUGCAAGGCAAGAAGAGAGGCUUCACCAGAAACCAACCCUGACAGCACAUUGAUUUUGGACUUCUAACCUUCCAGAACUGCUACAAACACAUCUUCCUUUUGAACACACCCCUCUGAAAAGAGACCCGGAGAGCCUGCAGAAGAGGGUCAGACAAGCUGUCCUGGUUGAAUGCUAUUGUCAUCAGAGUGAAGGAGGCUAGUUUCAAUGGCUGCAGUGCCAUGUUCAACAUCUGUUUGCUUGGGAGCAAAAUGAUUAUCUUCGGAGAGCAGCAAAGUUCAACUGCGAAUUUUGUAUGAUAUUUACAAAACAUCCCUUGCUCUAUGAACAUACUGACUGAGAUGACAGUGGAGCUCCAGGAUAAGUCCUUGAGAGAAGCAGCUUCAGAGAACCAGGUGUACCAACAGAUUGCCCACUGCCCUGCAAUUCAGAAUUGGCUCAUGUCCA